rnacentral:lncRNA from 1 species
AAGUAUUAAAAGAUAGAAAGACGAAAGAGAAACAAAAAGUAGCGUUAAUUGUAUUUUUCUUCUUAAUUCUAGAAUAACACUUAUACUGUUUUUUCCCACUUUAUCAAUAGUACACAGAGUAAAAGUAAAAUAAUAAUAGUCAACCUGAUUGGUAACAUUUCAGUUGAAUUUAAAAUUGUUUUACACCAAAUAUUUACUCAAAAAACUAUACAGUCACACCUUUAAUUGAGUAUUUUUGUUUACUCCAUAUACCACUAACUUUAGUGAUG